rnacentral:rRNA from 1 species
AAGCGUUGUUCGGAAUUACUGGGCGUAAAGGGUGCGUAGGCGGCUUUCUAAGUUGGAUGUGAAAACUCUGGGCUCAACCCAGAGCCUGCAUCCAAAACUGGAGAGCUUGGGUUCUGGAGGGGAAAGCGGAAUUCCUGGUGUAGCGGUGAAAUGCGUAGAUAUCAGGAGGAACACCGGUGGCGAAGGCGGCGACCUGGGUCGAGACUGACGCUGAGGCGCGAAAGCGUGGGGAGCAAACAGG